CACACUUUGACCUGCCCGGGAACACAGUGGCUCCUGGGAAAUAACCACUAAAGUCUUGAAAUGUCUUGAGUGAUUGGAGGACCUUUAUUUUUCACGCCUGAUGCCUUAUGCUGAUGAGAUGACUCAGCAGGGGAUGGCCAGGCCAGAAAGACCAAAACUGUAUCCUGAGGUUUGAGUUUCUGAGCCAGGUGAUGUCAUCCUCCAGAUUUAUUAAAAAUCAUCAACUUCAAAUUAUUUGGAUGGAAACAUUGCCAAAUCAUAGAGAUGUUUGCUACCACCCGCACACCAAGCAGCUGGGUAACUAGAAGUGCAGGAUCAGCUUAUUCACCUCCGAAAGCCUGCAUGCAACCACUGAGGCCGCCUCUAUUUUUUACAUAGUUCUACUUGGUGUAUGUAACCCCACAGAGAAACCUGGAAGAAUGCAUGAAACCUAGUAAGGCAACCAGCACAUGCAACAGAAUGAACCGUUUCUUUCCAUCUGAAUGCCUAAAUGUGGACUCUGAUCCUUUCUACCAAGUCCUAAGUUUGGGAAAAGAGGACAAGGACAGGGGCUCUGUCCCAUAUCAUAAUGUGCUUGUGAAUGGCUAAAAUUACAAUGCUGAGAUAAGUGUGUGUAAUAAAAUAAUUGCACCCCGA
rnacentral:lncRNA from 1 species